rnacentral:rRNA from 1 species
CAGCACCUCAAGUGGUCAGGAUGAUUAUUGGGCCUAAAGCGUCCGUAGCCGGCCUAGCAAGUCUUUUGUGAAAUCGUUAAUUUGAAUUUAACGCUGUGCAAAAGAAACUGUUGGGCUUGGAACCAGGAGGAGUCAGAAGUAUUUUUGAGGUAGCGGUAAAAUGUUAUAAUCUCAAAAGGACUACCGGUGGCGAAGGCGUCUGACUAGAAUGGAUUCGACGGUGAGGGACGAAAGCCAGGGGAGCAAUCCGGAUUAGAUACCCGAGUAGUCC